rnacentral:rRNA from 1 species
AUCCCUAUAUACCCUACAUAAUAAAUCUAAUUAAAACACUAAUAUAAUAAAUUUCUAUUCAAUAUCAAACCAAAAGUACUGAAAAGGAAAUACAAAUUAACUUUAAGUAGUGAAGUCUCACGUACCUUGUGCAUUAUGGUUUUACAAGCUAUUAAUUAACAAUAUCAUCCCGAAUUCUAUGCGAGCUGCCCCCAUAUUGCUAAGAGCCCACUUUUAAUUGUAGCAUYAAUUUUAGAAAAUAAGGUAGCAGAGGCUACAUACCAUUCGCGCUAGAAAAUUGCUGGUCUUCAGCAAAAUUUAUCAAUUAAAACAUGUAGUACAACUACAGUGUAAGACUAUAGAGGAUAAGCCCUAUAAUCUAAAGCUAACAAAUAAAGAACAAAUAUARAUAGGCUUAAAAMCAGCCAUAUACAGUACUUUACCGUACUACACAUAUAAUAUAUAAAUAUUAUGCYCCAAUAAGCUGAAAUUUAAGAAAAACUUUUUAUCUUAAAAUAUUCUGUAAAAAUAAGUAUUAAUUAAUUAACUAUAUAAAUUAAGUAUAGCAGCAAUAUAAAAACAA